GACAGACCAGAAGAGUGAGGCGACACAGACCAGAAGAGUGAGGCGAGACAGACCAGAAGAGGGAGGCGAGACAGACCAGAAGAGGGAGGCGAGACAGACCAGAAGAGGGAGGCGAGACAGACCAGAAGAGGGAGGCGAGACAGACCAGAAGAGGGAGGCGAGACAGACCAGAAGAGGGAGGCGAGACAGACCAGAAGAGGGAGGCGAGACAGACCAGAAGAGGGAGGCGAGACAGACCAGAAGAGGGAGGCGAGACAGACCAGAAGAGGGAGGCGAGACAGACCAGAAGAGGGAGGCGAGACAGAC